rnacentral:rRNA from 1 species
GAUGAACGCUGGCGGCGUGCUUAACACAUGCAAGUCGAACGAAGCGCUUAAAUGGAAUUCUUCGGAAGGAAGUUCAAGUGACUGAGUGGCGGACGGGKGAGUAACGCGUGGGUAACCUGCCUCAUACAGGGGGAUAACAGUUAGAAAUGACUGCUAAUACCGCAUAAGCACACGUGAUCGCAUGAUCGGGUGUGAAAAACUCCGGUGGUAUGAGAUGGACCCGCGUCUGAUUAGCUGGUUGGUGGGGUAACGGCCUACCAAGGCGACGAUCAGUAGCCGGCCUGAGAGGGUGACCGGCCACAUUGGGACUGAGACACGGCCCAAACUCCUACGGGAGGCAGCAGUGGGGAAUAUUGCACAAUGGGGGAAACCCUGAUGCAGCGACGCCGCGUGAAGGAUGAAGUAUUUCGGUAUGUAAACUUCUAUCAGCAGGG